AUGAUCUACGUCCACACCAAGAUGAUGAUCGUGGACGACGAGUACAUCAUCGUGGUGUCCGCGAACAACCAGAGGUCCAUGGACGGGGCGCGCGACUCAGAGAUCGCCAUGGGCGGGUACCAGCCGGGCCACCUGGCGACAAGCCGGCCGGCGAGGGGGCAGAUGCACGGGUUCAGGAUGGCGCUGUGGUACGAGCACCUCGGCAUGAUGGACGAGGCAUUCCAGCGGCCGAAGAGCCUCGAGUGCGUGCACAAGGUGAACGCCAUGGCCGAAAGGUACUGGGACCUCUACGCCGGCGACGGCCCCGAGCGCGACCUCCCCGGCCACCUCCUCACCUACCCUGUCAGCGUCAGCGCGAACUCCCCGGUGGUACGUUGGUCAAAACAAAGAAAGAGAGGAAGACGGUUUUUGGUUUGA
rnacentral:rRNA from 1 species